rnacentral:tRNA from 1 species
GAUUAGCUCAAAUGGUAGAGCGCUCGCUUAGCAUGCGAGAGGUAGCGGGUCCGAUGCCCGCAUC